rnacentral:rRNA from 1 species
GAUGAACGCUGGCGGCGUGCCUAAUACAUGCCAGUCGAGCGAACAGACGAGGAGCUUGCUCCUCUGACGUUAGCGGCGGACGGGUGAGUAACACGUGGAUAACCUACCUAUAAGACUGGGAUAACUUCGGGAAACCGGAGCUAAUACCGGAUAAUAUAUUGAACCGCAUGGUUCAAUAGUGAAAGACGGUUUUGCUGUCACUUAUAGAUGGAUCCGCGCCGCAUUAGUUAGUUGGUAAGGUAACGGCUUACCAAGGCAACGAUGCGUAGCCGACCUGAGAGGGUGAUCGGCCACACUGGAACUGAGACACGGUCCAGACUCCUACGGGAGGCAGCAGUAGGGAAUCUUCCGCAAUGGGCGAAAGCUUGACGGAGCAACGCCGCGUGAGUGAUGAAGGUCUUCGGAUCGUAAAACUCUGUUAUUAGGGAAGAACAAAUGUGUAAGUAACUAUGCACGUCUUGACGGUACCUAAUCAGAAAGCCACGGCUAACUACGUG